rnacentral:rRNA from 1 species
UAAUACGAAGGUGGCAAGCGUUGUUCGGAUUUACUGGGCGUACAGGGAGCGUAGGCGGUUGGAUAAGCCCUCCGUGAAAUCUCCAGGCUUAACCUGGAAAGUGCAGAGGGGACUGUUCAGCUAGAGGAUGGGAGAGGAGCGCGGAAUUCCCGGUGUAGCGGUGAAAUGCGUAGAGAUCGGGAGGAAGGCCGGUGGCGAAGGCGGCGCUCUGGUACAUUUCUGACGCUGAGGCUCGAAAGCGUGGGGAGCAAACAGGAUUAGAUACCCUGGUAGUCCACGCCUUAAACGAUGGAUACUAAGUGUCGGCGGGUUACCGCCGGUGCCGCAGCUAACGCAGUAAGUAUCCCGCCUGGGAAGUACGGCCGCAAGGUU